AGAGGAGCUGGACAAGUACUGGUCUCAGCAGAUUGAGGAGAGCACCUCAGUGGUCACCACGCAGUCCACCGAGGUUGGAGCUGCUGGGAUG
rnacentral:pre_miRNA from 1 species